rnacentral:ncRNA from 2 species
CGACUGACAUCUGGAAAGAGACCCUGCCGGGCGAUCCCGGGACGGGUCCGCCGACGGGAUAAUGCUCUCAGGCACAGCGACAGAUGGGGCUCG